GCGUGCAUGCAUGGGCGCAGCCUGAUGCAGCAACGCCGCGUGAGGGAUGACGGCCUUCGGGUUGUAAACCUCUUUUAGCAGGGAAGAAGCGAAAGUGACGGUACCUGCAGAAAAAGCGCCGGCUAACUACGUGCCAGCAGCCGCGGUAAUACGUAGGGCGCAAGCGUUAUCCGGAAUUAUUGGGCGUAAAGAGCUCGUAGGCGGUUUGUCGCGUCUGCUGUGAAAUCCCGAGGCUCAACCUCGGGCCUGCAGUGGGUACGGGCAGACUAGAGUGCGGUAGGGGAGAUUGGAAUUCCUGGUGUAGCGGUGGAAUGCGCAGAUAUCAGGAGGAACACCGAUGGCGAAGGCAGAUCUCUGGGCCGUAACUGACGCUGAGGAGCGAAAGGGUGGGGAGCAAACAGGCUUAGAUACCCUGGUAGUCCACCCCGUAAACGUUGGGAACUAGUUGUGGGGUCCAUUCCACGGAUUCCGUGACGCAGCUAACGCAUUAAGUUCCCCGCCUGGGGAGUACGGCCGCAAGGCUAAAACUCAAAGGAAUUGACGGGGACCCGCACAAGCGGCGGAGCAUGCGGAUUAAUUCGAUGCAACGCGAAGAACCUUACCAAGGCUUGACAUAUACGAGAACGGGCCAGAAAUGGUCAACUCUUUGGACACUCGUAAACAGGUGGUGCAUGGUUGUCGUCAGCUCGUGUCGUGAGAUGUUGGGUUAAGUCCCGCAACGAGCGCAACCCUCGUUCUAUGUUGCCAGCACGUAAUGGUGGGAACUCAUGGGAUACUGCCGGGGUCAACUCGGAGGAAGGUGGGGAUGACGUCAAAUCAUCAUGCCCCUUAUGUCUUGGGCUUCACGCAUGCUACAAUGGCCGGUACAAAGGGCUGCAAUACCGUGAGGUGGAGCGAAUCCCAAAAAGCCGGUCCCAGUUCGGAUUGAGGUCUGCAACUCGACCUCAUGAAGUCGGAGUCGCUAGUAAUCGCAGAUCAGCAACGCUGCGGUGAAUACGUUCCCGGGUCUGUACCCACCGCCCGUCAAGUCAUGAAAGUCGGUACACUGAAGCGUGCUACCCUUGUGAGGGAGCUGUCGAAGUGGAUCGGUAAUAGGACUAAGUCGUACCACAGAGGUUAACU
rnacentral:rRNA from 1 species